UUGGAUGGCUGUUAUUUAUGACAGAGUAAAUGUUCUUCUUAGUAUAAUGAAUGUCUUGAGAAAAAUUGCCUGGUUUAUUUAUAAAUUGGCAAUGAUUAUUUAAGUUGCGUUAUUUUAAUCGUUGUACAACCAAAGUAUAUACAUUUGUAGUAAACAAAUUUUCAGCAUCUGAAAUCAAUGAAAUUGAUUAAGGAAGCUGCAAAUGGAUUCUUUGAUUCCUAAACAACCAAAAAGUUAAAUGGUUAAACAUAAUACCCCAAAAUCUAUCCUAAUUAUUCAAUAUCUAAAUUCAUUUCAAAGAAAUUUGCUUUUAUACAUAAAGGUUUUUUCAAAACUCUCACACACCAUUUUCUUACUAAACUUCUUUAAAAGGGAAGAUUUCUGGCUAACGCUUGAAGUUGGACUAUAAAUUUUAAUAUUUUUUUCAUUCAAAAUAUGGCAUUAUUUUACUUAUUAUAAGCAAUUAUUUCUCAGAUUUUCACCCCUUGAUUUCUUGAAACAUUUGUUGGUUUCCAGGAGUAUUAUAGUUUUCCUUUGUUGAAUAUCAGUUUCAUGUUGAAAUAAUUUGUAUAAAAUUCAUAACAUAGUAGCUCCAAUUAAGAAAUUUCACAUAAUUUAAAAAAAAAAAUGCCAAAUAAAAACUAGCAUUGUAAGUUGAAUCAUUUGUAAGAAACAAACAGUUUUAAAGACAGGAAAGGAAAGAAAUGUUUUUUUUUGUUUUUUUUUAAUAUUUUUGAUUUGUAAAAACAUCUGUUUAAUACUGAACAAGUAUUAAUUAUUAAUGAUUUAUGUAUAUGUAUAUAUCUUCACGUUUAUGAUGCCAUGAUUUGGCUAUUUAUUAUUAUUUACACUGUUAGAUAAGCAUUUCAAAUAUCAGUAUGAUAUACACAUCACAGUGCUAGAAGAGGUAUGCCUAAUUUUCCUUCAACUUUCAAAAAAAUCUAACAGCUAAUUGAAUCUAGUUGUAGUUGAAUGUCUUCAAAAGACUGUAAAUGCAAUACUUUUACAGUUAAAAUAUCAAAGCAUGCAAUCCAAGAGUUUAAAUGCCUUGCUUGCCAACUUUUUU
rnacentral:lncRNA from 1 species